rnacentral:rRNA from 1 species
GAUGAACGCUGGCGGCGUGCCUAAUACAUGCAAGUCGAGCGAACAGACGAGGAGCUUGCUCCUCUGACGUUAGCGGCGGACGGGUGAGUAACACGUGGAUAACCUACCUAUAAGACUGGGAUAACUUCGGGAAACCGGAGCUAAUACCGGAUAAUAUAUUGAACCGCAUGGUUCAAUAGUGAAAGACGGUUUUGCUGUCACUUAUAGAUGGAUCCGCGCCGCAUUAGCUAGUUGGUAAGGUAACGGCUUACCAAGGCAACGAUGCGUAGCCGACCGGAGAGGGUGAUCGGCCACACUGGAGCUGGGACACGGUCCAGACUCCUACGGGAGGCAGUAGUAGGGAAUCUUCCGCAAUGGGCGAAAGCCUGACGGAGCAACGCCGCGUGAGUGAUGAAGGUCUUCGGAUCGUAAAACUCUGUUAUUAGGGAAGAACAAAUGUGUAAGUAACUAUGCACGUCUUGACGGUACCUAAUCAGAAAGCCACGGCUAACUACGUG